UAGGGAAUAUUGCAAAAUGGGCGAAAGCCCGAUGCAGCAACGCCGCGUGGGCGAUGAAGGCCUUCGGGUCGUAAAGCCCUUUUUGAGGGGAUGAGGAAGGACAGUACCCUCAGAAUAAGCCUCGGCUAACUACGUGCCAGCAGCCGCGGUAAAACGUAGGAGGCGAGCGUUAUCCGGAUUUACUGGGCGUAAAGCGCGUGCAGGCGGAUUGGAGAGUUGGAUGUGAAAGCUCCCGGCUUAACUGGGAGAGGUCGUUCAAUACUUCCAAUCUUGAGUGCAGUAGAGGGAAGUGGAAUUCCGGGUGUAGUGGUGAAAUGCGUAGAUAUCCGGAGGAACACCAGUGGCGAAAGCGGCUUCCUGGACUGUAACUGACGCUCAGACGCGAAAGCUAGGGUAGCAAACG
rnacentral:rRNA from 1 species